rnacentral:sRNA from 1 species
AGAGGUAAAGCUUAUGUUUAUGGAUGAAGUGGUUAUUUCUGGUUUAUUGAUCGUAGGUCUUACCUGCGCCUUUUUUGCCGGUGUUUACAUUGCCGUUAAGAAAGAUAUGCAAAAACACGGAACUGGCGAGUAAUCGUCAGUCGUUUACCCCGGGCUGACAGGGCACCGGGGGCGGCUGCAA